rnacentral:tRNA from 1 species
GCCGGGAUCGCAUAACCUGGUAUUGCGCUGGUCUUGAAAACCAGUGGCCGAAAGGCCUUCAGGGUUCAAAUCCCUGUCCCGGCG